CGCCAGACUCCUACGGGAGGCAGCAGUGGGGAAUAUUGCACAAUGGGGGAAACCCUGAUGCAGCGACGCCGCGUGAGUGAAGAAGUAUUUCGGUAUGUAAAGCUCUAUCAGCAGGGAAGAAAAUGACGGUACCUGACUAAGAAGCCCCGGCUAACUACGUGCCAGCAGCCGCGGUAAUACGUAGGGGGCAAGCGUUAUCCGGACUUACUGGGUGUAAAGGGAGCGUAGGUGGCAUGGUAAGCCAGAAGUGAAAACCCGGGGCUCAACCCCGCGGAUUGCUUUUGGAACUAUCAGGCUGGAGUGCUGGAGGGGUAAGCGGAAUUCCUAGUGUAGCGGCGAAAUGCGUAGAUAUUAGGGGGAACACCGGUGGCGAAGGCGGCUUACUGGACAGAAACUGACACUGAGGCUCGAAAGCGUGGGGAGCAAACAGGAUUAGAUACCCGCGUA
rnacentral:rRNA from 1 species